UAUUACUCGCAGAAAUACGGAAAAGGAUCUGAUCCAAUAUGGUUGGAUGGAAUAGAAUGUCUCUCGUACGAGUCGACUCUUUGGCAGUGUCAUGCAAAACCUUGGGGGAAACACGACUGUCAAUAUAACUUACAUGCAGGUGUUGAAUGUAAAGAGGCCAAAAUACCGGACCGGUCCAGUGUAAAGGUUUGCGAAACACGCAAUAUAUCUCAAACUGUUUAUGCAGCAGAACCAACGUUGCGCGUCUCUGGCGGCAACACCAGUUGCUCCGGAAGGUUGGAGAUAGAGUUCAAUAAUAUCUGGGGCACGAUAUGUGAUGAUUCCUGGGAUCUGGCCGAUGCCAAUGUGGCGUGCAGGCAGUUGGGCUGUGGCUCUGCCCUUUUGACUGGAGUGCCGGAUAAAAUUAUCCAGGACGUCGGCGAUCUUUGGUUGGACGAAGUGAAAUGCAAAGGAAGUGAAUCUUUCCUGUCCAGUUGUCCUUCCUCUCCACUCGGUCAGCAUGACUGUGAUCAUAAGGAAGAUGUCUUUGUUGUUU